CACGGAGUUAGCCGGGGUUUCUUUACCAGGUACUGUCAUUAUCAUCCCUGGCGAAAGAGCUUUACGACCCUAAGGCCUUCGUCACUCACGCGGCAUCGCUAGAUCAGGCUUGCGCCCAUUGUCUAAGAUUCCCCACUGCUGCCUCCCGUAGGAGUCUGGGCCGUGUCUCAGUCCCAGUGUUGCUGAUCAUCCUCUCAAACCAGCUACUGAUCGCAGACUUGGUAGGCCAUUACCCCACCAACUAUCUAAUCAGACGCGGGCCGAUCCUUUGCCGAUAAAUCUUUCCCCCAAAGGGCACAUACGGUAUUACUCCCAGUUUCCCGAGGCUAUUCCGUAGCAAAAGGUACGUUCCCACGCGUUACUAACCCGUCCGCCGCUAGAUCCGAAAAUCUCGCUCGACUUGCAUGUGUUAGGCGUGCCGCCAGCGUUCGUUCUGAGCCAGGAUCAAACUCU
rnacentral:rRNA from 1 species